AUUGAACGCUGGCGGCAGGCCUAACACAUGCAAGUCGAGCGAGCGGCGGACGGGUGAGUAAUGUAUGGGGCUCUGCCCGAUAGAGGGGGAUAACUACUGGAAACGGUGGCUGAUACCGCAUACUAUCGGCUGAACCCGUAUGGGAUUAGCUAGUAGGUGGGGUAACAGCUCACCUAGGCGACGAGCUCUAGCUGGUCUGAGAGGAUGAUCAGCCACACUGGGACUGAGACACGGCCAAGACUCGUACGUGUGGCAGCAGUGGGGAAUAUUGCACAAUGGGCGCAAGCCUGAUGCAGCCAUGCCGCGUGUAUGAAGAAGGGCUUAGGGUUGUAAAGUACUUUCAGCGGGGAGGCGUUACCCGCAGAAGAAGCACCUGCUAACUCAGCGCCAGCCGCCGCGGUAAUAC
rnacentral:rRNA from 1 species